GUUCCAGCCGCCGCGGUAAUACCGGCAGCCCGAGUGAUGGCCGAUAUUAUUGGGCCUAAAGCGUCCGUAGCUGGCCGAACAAGUCCGUCGGGAAAUCCACCUGCCCAACAGGUGGGCGUCCGGCGGAAACUGUGUGGCUUGGAACCGGAAGGCUCAGAGGGUACGUCCGGGGUAGGAGUGAAAUCCCGUAAUCCCGGACGGACCACCGAUGGCGAAAGCACUCUGAGAAGACGGCUUCGACAGUGAGGGACGAAAGCCAGGGUCUCCAACCGGAUUAGAUACCCCGGUAGUCC
rnacentral:rRNA from 1 species